rnacentral:rRNA from 1 species
CGCCAGACUCCUACGGGAGGCAGCAGUGGGGAAUAUUGCACAAUGGGGGAAACCCUGAUGCAGCGACGCCGCGUGAGCGAUGAAGUAUUUCGGUAUGUAAAGCUCUAUCAGCAGGGAAGAAGAUGACGGUACCUGACUAAGAAGCCCCGGCUAACUACGUGCCAGCAGCCGCGGUAAUACGUAGGGGGCAAGCGUUAUCCGGAUUUACUGGGUGUAAAGGGAGCGUAGACGGCGAUGCAAGCCAGAUGUGAAAGCCCGGGGCUCAACCCCGGGACUGCAUUUGGAACUGUGUGGCUGGAGUGUCGGAGAGGCAGGCGGAAUUCCUAGUGUAGCGGUGAAAUGCGUAGAUAUUAGGAGGAACACCAGUGGCGAAGGCGGCCUGCUGGACGAUGACUGACGUUGAGGCUCGAAAGCGUGGGGAGCAAACAGGAUUAGAUACCCCGGUACU